GGGAUUGCCUUAGUAACGGCGAGUGAAGCGGCAACAGCUCAGAGUUGAAAUCUGGCCCUUUCGGGGUCCGAGUUGUAAUCUGUAGAGAGUGUUUCGGGCGAGGCCACGGUCUAAGUUCGUUGGAACACGGCGUCAUAGAGGGUGAGAAUCCCGUAUGCGACCGUGGCUCGAGCCCAUGUGAAGCCUCUUCGACGAGUCGAGUUGUUUGGGAAUGCAGCUCAAAAUGGGUGGUAAAUUUCAUCUAAAGCUAAAUACGGGCUGGAGACCGAUAGCGCACAAGUAGAGUGAUCGAAAGAUGAAAAGCACUUUGGAAAGAGAGUGAAACAGUACGUGAAAUUGUUGAAAGGGAAGCGCUGGCAACCAGACCUGCCCGCGGGCGAUCAGCCGCUGUUCUCAGCGGUGCACUCGCCCCGCGAUCAGGCCAGCAUCGGUUUCGGCGGUCGGAUAAAGGCUCGGGGAACGUAGCUCCCUCUCGGGGGAGUGUUAUAGCCCCGGGCGUAAUGCGGCCAGCCGGGACCGAGGACCGCGCUUCGGCUAGGAUGCUGGCGUAAUGGUUGUCAGCGACCCGUCUUGAAACACGGACCAAGGAGUCUAACAUCUAUGCGAGUGUUUGGGUGUUAAACCCAUGCGCGUAAUGAAAGUGAACGGAGGUGAGAACCCGUCCCCGGGCGCAUCAUCGACCGAUCCAGAUGUCUUCGGAUGGAUUUGAGUAUGAGCAUGGCUGUUGGGACCCGAAAGAUGGUGAACUAUGCCUGAAUAGGGUGAAGCCAGAGGAAACUCUGGUGGAGGCUCGCAGCGGUUCUGACGUGCAAAUCGAUCGUCAAAUUUGGGUAUAGGGGCGAAAGACUAUCAAC
rnacentral:rRNA from 1 species